rnacentral:rRNA from 1 species
UGGGCGUAAAGGGUGUGUAGGUGGUUUUGUUAGUCUUUUGUUAAAGACCCGGGCUCAACCCGGGGAGCGCAAAGGAAACGGCAAAACUAGAGAGUGUGAGGGGUGAAUGGAACUCAUAGUGUAGGGGUGAAAUCCGUUGAUAUCAUGGGGAACACCAAAAGCGAAGGCAAUUCACUGGCGCAUUUCUGACACUGAAACACGAAAGCGUGGGUAGCGAAUGGGAUUAGAUACCCCAGUAGUCCACGCCCUAAACGAUGUUCUCUAGCUUUUUGGAGUAUCGACCCUCUAAGAGGCGAAGCUAACGCGUUAAGAGAACCGCCUGGGUAGUACGGCCGCAAGGCUAAAACUCAAAGGAAUAGACGGGGACUUGCACAAGCGGUGGAUUACGUGGUUUAAUUCGAUGAUACGCGAAAAACCUCACCAAGAUUAGACAUCUAGUUUACGUCUUUCUGGAAACAGAAAGUCCUAACGGCUAGACAGGUGAUGCAUGGUCGUCGUCAGUUCGUGGCUUGAGCUGUUCCCUUAAGUGGGGAAACGAACGCAACCCUUAUCGUCUGUUACAAGUGUCAGGCGAGACUGCCUAGCCUGAAGCGCGCAAAACGCGCUUCGAGUAGAAAGUAAAAAGUUCGUAAAGUUAAAAGACUUUUAACUUUUUAACUUUAUAAACUUUAUAAACUUUUAACUCGAAGCAAACUUUGUUUGUUUCAGGCUGGGAGGAAGGUGGGGAUGACGCCAGAUCAGCAUGUCCCUAGAUAUCUUGGGCUACACACAUAAUACAAUGGCUGUGACAACGGGUCGCGACGGGGUAACCCUGAGCCAAUCCUUUAAACACAGCCCCAGUUCGGAUUGAGGUCUGCAACUCGACCCCAUGAAGUUGGAAUCGCUAGUAAUCGCUGGUCAGCAUACAGCGGUGAAUAUGUUCUCAAGUCUUGUACUCACCGCCCGUCAACUCAAGGGAGCUGGGAGUACCCGACAGUCGUC